rnacentral:misc_RNA from 1 species
GAUGAAGAACGUAGCGAAAUGCGAUAAGUAAUGCGAAUUGCAGAAUUCAGUGAAUCAUCGAAUCUUUGAACGCACAUUGCGCCCGCCAGUAUUCUGGCGGGCAUGCCUGUCUGAGCGUCAUUUCAACCCUCAUGCCCCUAGGGCGUGGUGUUGGGGAUCGGCCAAAGCCCGCGAGGGACGGCCGGCCCCUAAAUCUAGUGGCGGACCCGUCGUGGCCUCCUCUGCGAAGUAGUGAUAUUCCGCAUCGGAGAGCGAUGAGCCCCUGCCGUUAAACCCCCAACUUUCCAAGGUUGACCUCAGAUCAGGUAGGAAUACCCGCUGAACUUAAGCAUAUCAAAAGCGGAGGA